CACGUAGGGCGCGAGCGUUGUCCGGAAUUAUUGGGCGUAAAGAGCUCGUAGGCGGCCUGUUGCGUCCGCUGUGAAAGCCCGGGGCUUAACCCCGGGUCGGCAGUGGAUACGGGCAGGCUAGAGGUAGGUAGGGGAGACUGGAAUUCCUGGUGUAGCGGUGAAAUGCGCAGAUAUCAGGAGGAACACCGGUGGCGAAGGCGGGUCUCUGGGCCGUUACUGACGCUGAGGAGCGAAAGCGUGGGGAGCGAACAGG
rnacentral:rRNA from 1 species